rnacentral:rRNA from 1 species
UACGUAGGGUGCGAGCGUUAAUCGGAAUUACUGGGCGUAAAGCGUGCGCAGGCGGUUCGUUGUGUCGGCGGUGAAAGCCCCUGGCUCAACCUGGGAAUGGCCGUUGAAACUGGCGAACUGGAGUGUGGCAGAGGGGGGGUGGAAUUCCGCGUGUAGCAGUGAAAUGCGUAGAUAUCUGGAGGAACACCGGUGGCGAAGGCGACAUCCUGGACCGGUAUUGACGCUGAGGCGCGAAAGCCAGGGGGAGCAAACGGG